rfam:Triticum urartu cultivar G1812 contig957262, whole genome shotgun sequence.
CUUGUACCCCCUACGUUCCAAAAUUAUUGUUCUAGAUUUGUCUAAAUACAGAUGUAUCAAAUCACAUUUUAGUAUUAGAUACAUUUGUAUCUAGACUAAUUUAAGACAAGAAUUUUAAGACGAAGGAAGUACUUA